rnacentral:pre_miRNA from 1 species
AGCUUUUUCAAUCCGUGCUGAGAUUUCGUCAGACAUCAACUCAUUAGGGCUGAUCACACUCUCAAGAUGAGUGACGUU